CCCCUUCAUGGCCACUUGAUCUCAACAAACAUCCACAAACUGAAUAAUUAUCUAAUGUUGUCUAAUUCAAAAUCACAUGUAAAAUAUCUUAUCUUUUAAAUUAACAAAACAAAUGUUUCCUCUGUUACAAGAAUAGAUAACAAAAUGGAAAUCAGAGCCAAUGGAAAACGAAAAAAAAUUCAAAUAUGUCUUCAUUGUGAACCUCAGCUUUGACCCUAAAGUUUUAACUAAGAGCAACUCUUUAUUAGUUAUCUUGGGCACCAUCAAUUGCCAGGUAUAAAAGGGAAGGCAGAAGGGCUCUUACCAGCAAACAAUUCAAAAUGACCUGAAGACAGUCAGCAUUACAUGGAAUGGAUGUGCAAGAGUAGCAGCCAACCAAACCCAUGUCCAGGCUUCCAAGACUGGUGAAGGGAAAGAAAUUAAGAAACCUUAGAUAAAAGACCAAAUCUGAACACUUAAACAGAAUGGACCCCACUAAAGGCCUCCAGGCUUCCAAAGGUCAGAUCUGCAUGGUAUUAAACCAUGUUGUAGAUUAAGUCUACUACCAGCUUAUUGUCAGGAUUAACUCCACAUCAUUCAUGACCAAGCAAUCUUAUGAUGAAAGGCAUCAUGUCUUUAGUUCUCAGACACAAUAUACCUAGGACUACAUUAUCCAAUAUGUUUACUGUAUUUUUUUCAGUCUACAGGUUGUAAUUUCAGGGAAAUUUGGCUGCUUUUUUUGAGCAGGUUGAGAGACAGCUACCUAAUUAUAUUGGUUUUUAUGCUAUCAAGAAGAGCCUCAGUACAUGUUAACCCUUUUAUAUUUAAACUAGCUGUAUCCAACCAAAAUAUUUUACCUGUUUUAUGUUCAAAUCGUCCAAAUUUGGCCCCUCACAUCUGUACCCUACAAUAUCAUUCUAAAAAUAAAAUACUGCAUCAUUAGAAUUUAGAAGCUACGAGAUAAUUCAUGAUUAAUUCAAAACAAUGUGAAGAAAUAAGCAUUACAUUUAACAGAAUAAUCUGAGCACUAAAGAUUUAAUACAACUUGGACAAGUAUCAAACGACAGGAGGGUGUGACCCACAAAUCAGUGCAUUUAGAUAUGAUGUCUUAUGUAGACAAUAAGUCAUCUUGUGAUCAUUAGAUUAUGAUACAUACUGUGUUACUGAUCCAAUGACAGCAGCUGCUACAUGGCUGCUCAACAUGCUAGAAUUAGAAGUCAAAUCCCUCUCAUAUAUCAUAGCAUCUUUAAUAAGUUGCUUGAAAUUAUUCCAUAGCAUCUUUCAUAAGAAAAAUAAUAAGUUCGCAUGAAAAUAACAAUAAAAAUAAUGCAUUAUAGGUGCAGGAACUGCCAAGUGGUAAGAAGCUUGCUUCCCAACCAUAUGGUUCCAGGUUCAGUUCCACUGCAUUGCACUUUCGGCAAGUGUCUUCUACUAUGGCUUUGGACUGUCCAAAAAAAAGAUUUGGUAGACAGAAACUGAAAGAAGCUCAUCAUGUACAUGUAUGUGUAUGUGUGUGUGUGUGUAUUUGUCCUCACCACCAAUUGUCUCUGUAACCUAGCAGUUUGGCAAAGAGACUGAUAGAAUAAGUACCAGGCUUAAAAAAAAAGCGCUGGAAUCAAUUCAUUUGACUGAAAUCUUUCAAGGUGGCACCCCUGCAUAGCCACAGUCUGAUGACUGAAACCAGUAAAAGAAUGUUAUUUCAUUUACUUAUGAACUAACAAUGAACAGAUACCAGAACUGAAGACAAUCUUUUGAAUUAAACUAUGUCAUUAAAUAACUUAAUUUUAGAUAUAACAAGUUUGGAGAAAAAAUAGAAUGGUCAUGGUCAGAAUGGUUUUGAUCAUACAUUUGGCCAAUAACAGCUGAUGUAGGACCAAAACAACUGAAGACCACUCUUAAAACCAGGGGUUCCCAACUAUUUACAUUCCAUUUACCCAUCCAACAACUUUUCAGAAAUAAAUUUGUUUUGUUCAGUAAUUUGAGUUUAUGUUUUAAGAUGUACCGAUCCAAGAUGGUAGGUAGGAAGAACUAUAAAAACUGCUUGCCUUGCAGUAUUUGUUCCAAUUCUUUGUGUUCUGAGUUCAAAUCUUCCUAUGACCUUCGUGGAUGGUAGACUUAACCCGUCACCUGAUUUAACCACCAUCUGGUAUUCUGGAUGCCUACAGCAGAGUCUACUCUGUUUUAAGCAUUCAGAUCAGGGUUCUGCUUUGGGAAUAACUUCCUCCCUCCCAUCAGUCUCAGGAGGUCAUAAACACUGCCCCUUCCUUCUGGAUUAAAAGACAAUGGAAAAACAAUGACAAAGAGGAAAUUCAAAAUACUGUUUAUUAUUUUUAGUUCAAAUAGAACUAGCACAUGACAAUAUCAUUUUAUUGAUGAUUAAUGAUGAAUAGAUACCAAAACCAAACACAGGCUUGUGAAUUAGAUUAAUCCAUUAGCAACACAGUUAUUAAGAAGUAUAUCAUAGUGAUUAUUAAAUCCAAAGCGGUAGAAAAAAAAAAUAUUAGUGUUUUUUUCAAAAAGCCAACCUAAUUCAAAUUUUCUUCUCAACUUCUGAUUUUUAAAAUAUAUAAUUGAAAAAUAUUUACAAAUCUAGAAUCAGCAAAUUAACCUUGUCAGUGGGUAAAAUUCACCUCCUGUAGGUAAGUUUACACAUUUUGGGUAGCCAUACAUGGUUCUUAACCGGAAUCCAUUAUAGCCCUGGGGGAAGAGUGGUCCGUACAAAAUUUUGUUCAUAAAAUUAAUUUUCAAUAAAUUAGUUAUGCUUCUACAAUACACAAAAUAUUAAAAAAAUUUUUUCAUACAGCUCUUAAUAAUAUUUAAUUAUAAAAAUGUAAUAUGAUUUUUUUAACAUUGAAUGGCUAGUAGGGUCCAUCUGAGUAAAAUAGGAAUCAAAAGGAUCCAUAGGUAAAAAAAUGGUUGAGAAGCACUACUUUACAUAAUUGUUGAAGGGCAAUAAUAUUGAGGCAUGUAAUCAAACAAGUGUAGCCAUACUCUGAUGAGUUUUUAAUAUCUUAGUAUUCCAUUACAUACCAGGUGACUACUAAAUUACAAAGUUCUCACAAAUAUCACAGCUGGCGAAUCAAUACGGAGUGAAUUAAUAGGCCAACUGUUAAUGGUUCAUACUUCACUUCAAAUGUACUUUAGUCACUCUCUCUCAUUAAGCUACCUUUCAUCACUAAAUGAGCAAAUGCAUACAGUUUGACCAACUUAUUUCACUUAAUAAAAAAAAAGUUGUACCUAUUUUUGCAUUAGUUUUGGUAGAAACCUUAUGAACCCUUAUCUAUAUUUUACUGACUGUUCACCACACUAUAAUUUUAAUAAGACAUUAAAUAAAACAAAGAUAGAAUUUACUUAUCCUCCUCAUCAUCAUUGUUUUAUUAUCCAUUUCUCCAUGUUCACAUGAGUUAGAUGGAAUUUAUUGAGGCAGAUUUCCUGAGCUGGAUGGAUGCCUUUCCUGUCACCAACCCUCACCAGUUUCCAAAUAAAGUAAUAUUUCUCAAUGUAGAAAACUGAAAAUAAAGGACACCAUUUGCAUGACAGAAACACUUGUUUACAACUAUCAUAUCAUGUCAAGACAAAGAAACAAUAA